rnacentral:rRNA from 1 species
UGCCAGCAUCCGCGGUACUCCUAAUUGACCUAUCGUAGUUCGGAAUUACUGGGCUUAAAGAGUUCGUAGGUGGUUGAAAUAGUUGGUGGUGAAAUCCCAGAGCUCAACCUGGGAACUGCAUCCAAAACUGAUUCACUAGAGUACGAUAGAGGGAGGUAGAAUUCACAGUGUAGCGGUGGAAUGCGUAGAUAUUGUGAAGAAUACCAAUGGCGAAGGCAGCCUCCUGGAUCUGUACUGACACUGAGGUGCGAAAGCGUGGGUAGCGAACAGGAUUAGAUA